CCCCGCAGGGCUCCGGGCGGCCGUGACCCUGCUGGAGUGCGGGGGGGACCUCCAGCCCCCCGGGGGGUCCCUGCGCCUCCUCUGCCGAGGAUCUGGAUUCGAUUUCGGGAGUUUUGGAAUGUUCUGGAUCCGACAGAGACCCGGGCAGGGGCUGGAGUUCAUCGCUGGGAUUGACAAUGAUGGCACCACCAGAUACCCGCCAUCGCUCAAGGGCCGGGUCACGAUCUCCAGGGACAACGGGCAGAGCUCGGUGACGCUGACCAUGACCGACCUCCGGGACGAGGAUUCCGGAUCCUAUUUCUGUGCCAAGGCUGCUGGGGCUGACGGAGAUGACCAUGAUGCCUGUGCUAUUGGCCCCGCCCCAAUGGCUCUGUCCCCCCAGCUGUCCCCAGCUGUCCAUUUGGGACAAAGGGUCAAGGGCUGA